CAAGCAGCCAAUCAGCGCUCACAAAGGCGUUAUGACUGCGAUGUGAACGCGCGGAGAGGUUCAGAGAGCAGGGUAGAUGACAGAGAUACUGUUCUAAACAAGAGACCGCCGUGUUAAAGAACGAUUUAGCGAUAGUGUAUCCUUUAUGGGCGCGUUUUCUUUCGUGUGCGUAAAAGUUUAGAGAUACUUUAUUAACUACUCUCAUGGGCUGAGUUCCAAAUAUCAUUUAGACUGAACUCUACAUAUCCCACGAGUUAAAAUAGAGCAGAAAGUAUCACUAAUCGUGUUUAAAACGCAUGUUUCUGUGCGUAAAACACAGCUAUCCAAGUGUUUUCCUGCAACUCCAAACAACCUAGAAGCGUUGCAAUGGAAAAAUCAAAGAACUUCAGGAUCGACGCUCUUCUGGCUGAAGAACCACAUCGAGGGACACGAGAAGUAUCACCUGGACUGAGCAGCGACAGCCCGACUGGUAGUCCGGUGUCCUGCAGGCGCGCAGACACUCCGUCCCCCUGCGCCAUACACCUCCAAACCGGAAUCAUACCUAAACCAGGGCUGCUCAAUCUCCCACACCCGGGACUCACUUCACUUCCAGGCAUGUACACGACGCCCAUGUACCCCAUUUCAGCGUUGGGAGGUCAGCACCCCGCCCUGGCGUACUCGGGUUUUACGCAGCUGACGCACCCGUACCCGGAGCAACUGAAGGCGGCGGCGAUGGCCGGGUCUUUACCGCUGGAGCACUGGAUACGAGCCGGCAUCAUGGUACCACGACUGCCCGAUUACACCUGUGAGUGGGGUAGCAUGCAGAUGACCGCCCCCCAGUCCGGUUUGAUGGGUAAAUGUCGAAGGCCACGGACAGCAUUCACCAGUCAACAACUACUGGAGCUGGAAAACCAGUUUAAACUUAACAAGUACCUUUCCAGACCCAAACGCUUCGAAGUGGCCACAUCACUCAUGCUGACCGAGACACAGGUCAAGAUCUGGUUCCAGAACCGGCGAAUGAAGUGGAAACGCAGUCGUAAGGCUAAAGAACAGGCCGCGCAGGUCGAGGUCGAACGCCAACGCGGGGGAAGCAAACCGACCAAUGAGAGACCAGGACGGGACGGUCGCAGGGCUCUCGCUCAGAGUGUGGAGGAGCACGAGGAAGAGGACGAACUCGACGAGGACGAGGAAGACGAUGAGGAAGGGCCACACAAGUUCAUAAACGACACCCUGAAUGUUGCACGUUCCACAGACUUUCUGCACCACGCGUCUGCGUUAGGAUACCACGCCGACAGCCCCUUCUCCGAGGACGACAUGGAGGAGGUGGGAGGCGGAGACAGGAAGAUCGGGGCAGGGUUAUGAGACGAUUUCCAAAUGGAAACUGAGACUGCAUGAACUCGCGUCCUGUGCUGUGGUCUGACUAUGGCAAUGAUUUUAAAAAGAAGUAUUACCAUUGGGAAACAUCGAUAUGCUCUGGAUGGUGAACUUGAUCUUCAGCUUCCAUGUCCAGGUCAAAAAGUGUGUGAUGUGCUGUUUCGAGUGGCCAGUAGUCCUCCACAAUCCACUGCAAACUUCAUUCUGGUAUGAAACGAAAACCCAAUCAACUCCUGAGGCUGCACGGAUACACUGAUUAUGUUCCAAAACGUAAUUUAUACAUUUAAAAUGUAUGCAGUUUCAUGUGGUGCCAAAGCAAAACAACAAAAUCAGUUUGAAAUUCAUUGUUUUAAAGUUGAUUAAUGCUUGGUUUGUUUAAAGGUACGACAUGCAUAUUGUCUAAAAUAUUUAUUUGCAUUAAAAUAUGCUGAAUAUGUGUUUCUCUGACUUCUCCCCACCUGUGUGAUGUAAGAGAGCUGGAGGCAUGAUUCUUUCUAAAUGUCAUGUUUACAUGUGGCUCAGUGUUUGUUCAUGUUAAUGUUAUUUAAAAGCAAGUUUAAGUCUGUGUAAUUUAUUUCCAUUGAAUGAUGCAAGGGAGGUUGAUGCACAGUAUAAUAAUGUUAUAUAUGUCUGCGUUGCUGUAAAUUGCUGCAAAUAAACCAAAAGAAAAACAAAAGUGUGACAAUGAUUCUUCAAAAUCUGAAUAAAGCUCCCUUCAGAGGCAUCAA